rnacentral:rRNA from 1 species
GAUGAACGCUAGCGGCAGGCCUAACACAUGCAAGUCGAGGGGUAGAGGAAGCUUGCUUCCUUGAGACCGGCGCACGGGUGCGUAACGCGUAUGCAAUCUACCUUUUACAGAGGGAUAGCCCAGAGAAAUUUGGAUUAAUACCUCAUAGUAUCUUUGCCUGGCAUCGGGUGAUUAUUAAAGUUCCAACGGUAAAAGAUGAGCAUGCGUCCUAUUAGCUAGAUGGUAAGGUAACGGCUUACCAUGGCAACGAUAGGUAGGGGUCCUGAGAGGGAGAUCCCCCACACUGAUACUGGGACGCGGACCAGACUCCUACGGGAGGCAGCAGUGAGGAAUAUUGGACAAUGGGCGCAAGCCUGAUCCAGCCAUGCCGCGUGCGGGAAGACGGUCCUAUGGAUUGUAAACUGCUUUUGUACGGGAAGAAACACUCCCUCGUGAGGGAGCUUGACGGUACCGUAAGAAUAAGGAUCGACUAACUCCGUGCCAGCCGCCGCCGUAAUAC